AGGCAGCAGGGGGAAAGGACAAGGGGGCAACCCGACCAGCAAGCCGCGGGGAAGAAGGCCGCGGGGAAUGCACAGAGGGGAGGAAGGCAGGGCAAACCCGGCAAGACGACCCAAGAAAAGCACCGGCAACC
rnacentral:rRNA from 1 species